GGGGGCGCGUGGAUUCGACAAGGGAGGUAUGCUACAGGAUUGCAAGCUGAGGUGCCGCUACCCUCACAAAACAAGUGGCAAAAAAUAACUGGCAAAGAACCAGUAUUAGUUGCUGCCUAAUUAAAUAGGCAACACAUCCAACCUGACCUCACCUCAACGGGUCGGGAUUGGGUGACGAUUAGUUGAGGUGCCAUCACCCGGAUGUCAAUAAGGGUGGCGAAAGAACAAUUGACUGGCCUGGCUAAACUCGGUCAGCAGAGGCUAGCCAGGUAAGAUAAAAGAGCUGACUAAGCUUGUAGUAGAUUCUGGGUAGCUUCUCUUGGACGGGGAGUUCGACUCUCCCCCGCCUCCACCA
rnacentral:tmRNA from 1 species